rnacentral:lncRNA from 1 species
GUUCAUCGCUGCUGCCGGAUCUGGACGCCCUGUUCAUCGCUGCUGCCGUAUCUGGCCGCUCCGGCUCUCAUCAACGCUGCCCCGCGAUGGAGAGAAGGUGGGAGGGUGUUGGUCACAGUGAGAGGAGUCCGGCGAGAUUGAGAAGGGGAAGGCGGAGAGAAAAGGAAGUGGCUCGAUCCACAGCCGCCGCGGGCGCCCAGCCCCCACUGCCGCCGGUGCCGCCCCACAACACCUCCGGCCCGUCCCCCACGGCCUUGCCUCGAACUGGUGCCCCAUACCAGCAUCUCUCGGGCCUCCCUGCCAUUUAAUGUAUGCCACAGUUUGGACGCCGCCGUCUCCCUGUUCAUUUUCAGAUGUUGAACUGAACUAUUCAUUUUCAGGUUGGUGUAUGCCACGGGAGGGCAUUUUAUUGUUACUUUUAUAAUGUCAAGCUACCAAUCGUUCUCCAUAUAUGCAGUUAUACAGUACUACAACGUGAAACAUCCUUGUUCAUUUUCAGAUGUUGAACUGAACUGUUUAUGUCCCUAAAUUCAACCAUACCAUGUGUAACUCAUGAUUGUGUUAGCAUGUAUAAAAAAAUUCUUGAUGAUUAAAUAUUAAUAUGUAGGCACAGCGAUAACUCAUUGUAAUUGUGUGGACCAUCCGUUAGGUUAAAGACUCACUGACAUCUUCUUUAAUUG